rnacentral:miRNA from 1 species
AAGGUACUUCCUGUGCAAUAGA